UACGUAGGGUGCAGGCGUUACUCGGAAUUACUGGGCGUAAAGCGUGCGCAGGCGGUCUCUUAAGACAGGUGUGAAAUCCCCGGGCUUAACCUGGGAACUGCGCUUGUAACUGAGAGGCUAGAGUGUGGCAGAGGGGGGUGGAAUUCCACGUGUAGCAGUGAAAUGCGUAGAGAUGUGGAGGAACACCGAUGGCGAAGGCAGCCCCCUGGGCUAACACUGACGCUCAUGCACGAAAGCGUGGGGAGCAAACAGG
rnacentral:rRNA from 1 species